AGAGACGAAGAAUGUUGGAGGCUCGAAGGACUUACCUGAUUUGAAGAACACGCACGAAGCUACGAGAAAUCCGGAUGCGAAAUAAACGCAGGAAAAUGGAGAAGCUCUUCAGUUGAAGACUAUGAUGAUGUCGAAGCGUGACUGAAGAUUGAAGAUUAUUGAUGCUUGUUAAUGUUGUGCUUGAAUGGAAGAAGGCCUCGAAGAUGAAGAAGGUAUGAGAUGCUGAGAGGUUGCAGAAUUAUUGACAUGGUAGCUGAGAAAGAUUAAAGAUGGUAUCGCAAAGAUCAGAGAGUGAGAGAGUUGAAGAUGACUGAUGAAGAGGAUUCAUGGAGUAUGAGGCAGAGUGGUGAAGAAUUCAGAAAAAUGGUGAAGUGAAGAUGGUGAUGGAAAUGGUGAUGAGUGAAGAUUGCAAAAAGGUGGAGGAGCUGAAAGAAUGGAUCAAGGCUCUGAUUUAUAGAGAUUCUCAAGGCUGUAUGUUUGGAUUUGUUAGGAACUCCAUUUGGUUGCUUGAAGGUGUAUGGCCCUGGUUCGAAAAGUUGCAGCAGGGAUAGGAGUCCUUGCAUUCAGUGAUGUGGUGAUUUUCUUUCAUGAGGUUAUGUUGGUGUUGAAUGUGCAGGUUAUUUUUUUCGGUGCUGUUGGCGGUAUUUUGCGGUUUUGGCAUGGCUACAUGAUACAAAUGGUGGGGAUCAAUGAUGAAGAGAAAUUGAAGAUUAAUAUAGGGAAUAGAUUUAGGGCAAUUUUUUUGUAUUUAAAAGGUGUGAUAUGCAAAUGAAUGUAGUUUUGGUGAAAAUGAUGUUUUUUUG